GGUUAAGCGACUAAGCGUACACGGUGGAUGCCCUGGCAGUCAGAGGCGAUGAAGGACGUGCUAAUCUGCGAUAAGCGUCGGUAAGGUGAUAUGAACCGUUAUAACCGGCGAUUUCCGAAUGGGGAAACCCAGUGUGUUUCGACACACUAUCAUUAACUGAAUCCAUAGGUUAAUGAGGCGAACCGGGGGAACUGAAACAUCUAAGUACCCCGAGGAAAAGAAAUCAACCGAGAUUCCCCCAGUAGCGGCGAGCGAACGGGGAGCAGCCCAGAGCCUGAAUCAGUGUGUGUGUUAGUGGAAGCGUCUGGAAAGGCGCGCGAUACAGGGUGACAGCCCCGUACACAAAAAUGCACAUAUUGUGAGCUCGAUGAGUAGGGCGGGACACGUGGUAUCCUGUCUGAAUAUGGGGGGACCAUCCUCCAAGGCUAAAUACUCCUGACUGACCGAUAGUGAACCAGUACCGUGAGGGAAAGGCGAAAAGAAC
rnacentral:rRNA from 1 species